UACAGAGGUCCCAAGCGUUGUUCGGAUUCACUGGGCGUAAAGGGUGCGUAGGUGGUCGGGUAAGUUUGAUGUGAAAGCUCCGAGCUUAACUCGGAAAUUGCAUUGAAUACUAUUCGGCUAGAGGGUUGGAGGGGGGACUGGAAUUCUCGGUGUAGCAGUGAAAUGCGUAGAUAUCGAGAGGAACACCAGUGGCGAAGGCGAGUCUCUGGACAUUUCCUGACGCUGAGGCACGAAAGCCAGGGGAGCAAACGGG
rnacentral:rRNA from 1 species